AUGAACGCUGGCGGCGUGCCUAAUACAUGCCAGUCGAGCGAACAGACGAGGAGCUUGCUCCUCUGACGUUAGCGGCCGACGGGUGAGUAACACGUGGAUAACCUACCUAUAAGACUGGGAUAACUUCGGGAAACCGGAGCUAAUACCGGAUAAUAUAUUGAACCGCAUGGUUCAAUAGUGAAAGACGGUUUUGCUGUCACUUAUAGAUGGAUCCGCGCCGCAUUAGCUAGUUGGUAAGGUAACGGCUUACCAAGGCAACGAUGCGUAGCCGACCUGAGAGGGUGAUCGGCCACACUGGAACUGAGACACGGUCCAGACUCCUACGGGAGGCAGCAGUAGGGAAUCUUCCGCAAUGGGCGAAAGCCUGACGGAGCAACGCCGCGUGAGUGAUGAAGGUCUUCGGAUCGUAAAACUCUGUUAUUAGGGAAGAACAAAUGUGUAAGUAACUAUGCACGUCUUGACGGUACCUAAUCAGAAAGCCACGGCUAACUACGUG
rnacentral:rRNA from 1 species